AUUUCACUUUGGAAAACUUGAGUUUACAUAAUAACACGAAGAAACACACAAUAUCUAUAACCUCCAUCCUUUCCAAAGCCAUUGUCUGGGAGUUUUGGAACCACUGACUGACUCUUCGAGCACCAGGCUUUUCCCUUGGUCCUCAGCACUGGGUGGGGAGCCCUACAUCCCAGAAGUCUUGGGAAACAGGGUGGAGCGGAAUCGCCUAUCACAGCCAAACAAGACUCUCCAGGAGGAAAUACAGCAGAGACCUGCUCAGGGCUUAGCAAACAGUGACAAAGGUGAGGUGAAGCCAGUCUGGACGCACACCAGUUCGGGAUGAUCUGAGGAAUGUCAGGCAGUCCCUAUAUCCUCAGAUGUGUCCCCAUCCACCUGGCACAUGUCUGGAACUUCGCCAUUACAGAGACUUCAGUGUC
rnacentral:lncRNA from 1 species